CNNNUGCAUCCUUAGUACGGCGAGUGAAGCGGGAAGAGCUCAAAUUUGAAAUCUUCAAGGUUCUACCUUGACGAAUUGUAGUUUAUAGAAGUGUUUUCUGUUAGUAGAGUGGCAAAAGUUCUUUGGAAUAGGACAUCAUAGAGGGUGAGAAUCCCGUAUUUGGUCAUUCUUUCUAGCUUUGUGAUACACUUUCAACGAGUCGGAUUGUUUGGGAAUGCAGUCCAAAAUGGGUGGUAAAUUUCAUCUAAAGCUAAAUAUUGGCGAGAGACCGAUAGCGAACAAGUACCGUGAGGGAAAGAUGAAAAGAACUUUGAAAAGAGAGUUAAACAGUACGUGAAAUUGUCAAAAGGGAAGCGUUUGACACCAGUGUUGUUUUUCCGAAAAUCAAUUACAAAUGUUUUGUUUUUGAGAAGUUAUGACUUCAUCGGCUUGCUUCUCUCUUUACAAAACUUUCUUAAUGCACUUUUCGGUUAACAAGUCAACAUCAAUUUCUUUUGUUGUAAAAGGGUAUGAGGAAGGUGGCUUUCUUUUCGGAGAAAGUGUUUAUAGCCUUGUGCCUCUGCAAUCGGAGAGAUUGAGGUCUGCAGCGUAAAUCCUUCGGGGUUAGAUACAUUUGUGCUAAGUUAUAGCUUUUCAUAGACAACUUGUUGACUAUGUUAAGUCUUGUAGCUUACUCGCUUAUGCUAUUUUACCUACGCUUAGGAUGUUGACAAAAUGGUUUUAUCGACCCCCCCCCCCCCAAA
rnacentral:rRNA from 1 species